CUGCAGCUCAAGUAGUGAUCGCUAUUAUUGGGGGGCCUAAAACGUUCGUAGCCGGGUUUGGGUAAAUGCCUGGGGUAAAUAGUGUAGCUUAACUAUACGAAUUCCGGGUAGACUGUCAAACUUGAGACCGGGAGAGGCUAGAGGUACUCUUGGGGUAGAGGUGAAAUUCUGUAAUCCUAAGGGGACCACCAGUGGCGAAGGCGUCUAGCUAGAACGGGUCUGACGGUCAGGAACGAAGCCCUGGGGCGCGAACCGGAUUAGAUACCCGGGUAGUCCAGGGUGUAAACGCUGCUUGCUUGAUGUUAGUUGGGCUCCGAGCCCAAUUAGUGUCGGAGAGAAGUUGUUAAGCAAGCUGCCUGGGAAGUACGGUCGCAAAGGCUG
rnacentral:rRNA from 1 species